rnacentral:rRNA from 1 species
UACGGAGGGUGCAAGCGUUAUCCGGAUUCACUGGGUUUAAAGGGUGCGUAGGCGGGUUGGUAAGUCCGUGGUGAAAUCUCCAGCUUAACUUGGAAACUGCCGUGGAUACUACCAAUCUUGAAUAUCGUGGAGGUAAGCGGAAUAUGUCAUGUAGCGGUGAAAUGCUUAGAUAUGACAUAGAACACCAAUUGCGUAGGCAGCUUACUACACGAUCAUUGACGCUGAGGCACGAAAGCGUGGGGAGCAAACAGG